rnacentral:rRNA from 1 species
CUCAAAGGAAUUGACGGGGCCCGCACAAGCGGUGGAGCAUGUGGUUUAAUUCGACGCAAUGCGAAGAACCUUACCAAGGCUUGACAUAUAGAGGAAACGUCUGGAAACCAGUCGCCCCGCAAGGUCUCUAUACAGGUGGUGCAUGGUUGUCGUCAGCUCGUGUCGUGAGAUGUUGGGUUAAGUCCCGCAACGAGCGCAACCCUCGUUCUAUGUUGCCAGCACGUAAUGGUGGGAACUCAUGGGAUACUGCCGGGGUCAACUCGGAGGAAGGUGGGGAUGACGUCAAAUCAUCAUGCCCCUUAUGUCUUGGGCUUCACGCAUGCUACAAUGGCCGGUACAAAGGGCUGCAAUACCGUAAGGUGGAGCGAAUCCCAAAAAGCCGGUCCCAGUUCGGAUUGAGGUCUGCAACUCGACCUCAUGAAGUCGGAGUCGCUAGUAAUCGCAGAUCAGCAACGCUGCGGUGAAUACGUUCCCGGGUCUU